rnacentral:rRNA from 2 species
UGUAUAGCAAUCGCUAUUUGCACUAAAAGUUUUUAGUGUAAAAUCGACUUUGUCGAAUAAAAUUCUGGAUAGAAUUAUGAUAAUGACAUUACCUAUCCAUAAGUCUUGACCAAAUUACGUGCCAGCAGUCGCGGUAAUACGUAGAAGACAAGUGUUAUUCAUCUUUAAUAGGUUUAAAGGGUACUUAGACGGUAAACAAAGCCUUCAAAAGGGACUAGUUUGCUAGAGUUUUAUGUGAAGGAGUUUUAAAGUACUACUGGUGUAGAGAUGAAAUUCAGUUAUACCUUACAUGGCACAGGUUAAGGCGAAAGCAUCUUCUUAUGUAAAAACUGACGUUGAAGGACGAAGG